ensembl:snoRNA U3 Small nucleolar RNA U3
AAGACUAUAAUUCCAGGGGUCAUUUCUACAGUUUACUAGACAAGUUUCUCUCAAUGUGCAAAGUACCCAAAACCAUAAGGAGGAGGCAGAAAAAAAUCUCUUCCAGACCCUGCUUUCAAUUCUUUUGGGUGCAAUUCCAGAGGUGCAAUUCCUGGAUCAUAUGGU